AGGGUAACAAUUCCCUGACUCAAACCCCCUUCAUGUGGACAUUCACCUGGACUUGUCUGUGCUGGCACCUACGGAACCGCAUGUAAGACUCACUGGAAACAACCCACUUAGUCAUUCUUGCUAAACCAUCCCAUGCCCGGUGAAAACUGUGUAAGCCCAGACUGAAGUUCAAGGAUAAGGAGGAAAGCUCAGCCUGUUCUUCAGGGCUUUCCUGCAAGUGGAUGCUCUUCAGGAUCAGAGCCUUAAGGAACUGCAUUUCUCCAGUGAUCUGCCCUUCAAUGUUUUCCUUGCAGCCCAUAAAAGCUGCUCUCGCAUAGUUGAUCAUGCUCAUUUCAACAUCUAUGCCUCUUAAGGAGUUCUUUUCCCAAUUCCAAACAAGGAAAAAUAAAUUCUUCAUGGCAAGAUCGUCUCCAUUCAGUCUCUAAACUCUCAGCCCACAGCUGAUGUUUUACAUCACUGCCUUUUCUGGGGAGAACAUCCCUGGAAGUGGAUGACAACCAGCCUGCUCAGCUUAGGGCCGUACAGAGCAGGAGUGAGCACAAGGCCUCUCUGGUGGAACAUCUCAAAGCUCUUGGCACGUGGCAACAAAGUGAAAUUUGCUGAGGCCAUAUGGAAAGGGACAGAGGAUUCAUAUUAGCAUCUUACCAUUUGGUUUUGUUUUCCUGUUUCCAUCCUUGAGGAGGAAUAAAGUAUCUUCAAGGUGCCUCUUCGCUGGGCGCCAUAUACCCCUCAAGUGCCCGCUCAAGUCAUUUGCAAAUUUUUUCUUCUCACACCCUUGCCCUUUUUUCACUGUUCAUCCCCCAUAGUCAGUGGGAUGUUUUUCACAUUGUUUCUUCUUUCUCUAUCCUGCCACCUUGGGGAGCUUGGUGGCUGGGCUAGGACCAGCUUGGGGCCCAGAAGGAGAAGGCCAUUUAGGGACUUCUCUGACCAGCCUUGGCUGUAACUAAAAUGGCCUCAGCCCUGUGCUGUCUUAUGCCUUCUCUUAUGGUGCUGGAAACCCUGGAAGGCAAGAACUGGCUGCAAAACAGUGACACAGCGACCAGAGAUGAACCUCACCUCUCACACAGUCCAGGCAAGCUGGUAGAGGUUGCUCAAAGCAGGUGCAGAUAAGAUCAAAUUAUCUUCUCCAUCCUUCCAGAUCAGUGGUCCCAGGCCCUUUCCCCGGCCUCUCUCUGUUGUGUCAUAUCAAUUUUACACCCUUGACUUGGAAGUCAUGUUCCUGGUACACAUGAGCACAUGUGGCAGAAGGUUCAGCCUUUGAAUCAAUAGCUUUCCUCACACCCAAAGGGACAUGUGUCCCUGACCCCUGGGACUCAGGAUGAACCCCUGGGACCCAGGAUAAGCCCCUCCAAUGCAUUAGUUUUAUGGCUUGAUCUGCCACAUCAACUGGAGCUUUUUCCCCUCUUAAGAGUGAAAGGCUCUGAUCUCUCGUUACAAAUAUUUGAAUCUGUAAUUAAUCAUAAUCUGUGACAUAUGAAGCAAAGCUCUGGUAACCUUCUACUAACCUUUUAUUAUUAGUCCAAUAAAAGUAUCACAUGUAAUAUGUCUGUCUUGUUGAGGGCUAAUCCCUCUCCUGAAGCACUUUGGCAACAUAUUAACAAUAGUAUCCUGCAGUCCUCUGAAGAAUCCUCAGGGUUCUCUUUUAAAAAAAACAAGGACUGGUUUGAUGAAAAUAAUCAAGAGAUCCAGGAAUUGGUGACAAAGAAGAGAACUGCUCACCAAGCACACCUUGCUCAGCCAUCUUGCUAUGUAAGAAAAGCAGCCUUUUGUCUUCCAUGCAGUCAGCUCCAACAGAAACUUCGAGACAUCCGGAACAAGUGGUGGAUCAAUGUAGCAGAAAGGAUUCAAUUAUGUGCAGAUGGGUGAUUACAGAGGAUUCUAUGAAAUCAGCGUAUGGACCUACACACCAGGUUCAAAGCCCUUUACUCAGCGCAGAUGGUCAAAUGCUUCUCACAGAUAAGACUUCCAUUCCCAAUCGAUGGUCUGAACAUUUUCAGACUCUCUUCAGUACCAGCUGUGUAGUUCAAGGCUCAGCAAUUCAGUACAUUACACAACAACUGGUGAAAAAUGAAUUGGAUAUUGUCCCCACUAUGGGAGAAACUCUUCAGGCCGUACAGCAGGUAAAAACUGGCAAGGCAGCUGGGGUUGAUGGAAUUCCACUUGAAGUCUGGAAGCAUGGAGGCCAAGCUGGUGGUGCAUUGUUGGGAACGAGACAAACUACCAUCAGACCUUUGUGACACAGUCAUCAUCACUCUGUAUAAGAAGAAAGGAGAUAAAUCAGACUGUUCAAAUUACAAAGGUAUUACUUUGUUCUCUAUUGCUUUUGCAAGAAUACUUCUAACAGAUUAAUACCUGCUAUCUCAGAAGACCUUCUACCUGAAAGGCACUGUGGUUUUAGAGCUAAUAGGAGCACCACAUACAUGGUAUUCGUUCUCAGACAACUGCAAGAGAAGUGUAGGGAACAGAAUAAAGAACUCCAUGUAACUUCUGUUGAUUUCACCAAAGCUUUUGAUACUGUGAGCAGAAAAGGUUUGUGGCAGAUUUUGGAACGUUUAGGAUGUCCCCCCAAGUUCCUCAAAAUGAUCAUUUUGCUUCAUGAGGAUCAGCGUGGCCAAGUCAGAUACGGCAAUGCACUUUCUCAGUCCUUUCUAAUAACCAAUGGUGUGAAACAAGGCUGCGUUCUUGCACUAACUUUAUUCAUAAUCUUCUUCAGCAUGAUGCUCCAAAGGGCCACUGCAGACCUCAAAGAAGAAAAACAUAUCUACAUGUUGUAGAUACCAUAUCUAUAUGAGCAAGUUAAUACAGGUUAUCUGUUAUGUAAUGACCGUGGUGUAGAUAGGGAGUUGAAGUCCUGAUGGAAGCCGUGAGAGGAUGACCAGUUAUGGGUGUCCCAGAAAGAAGCUUUGAAGUGAUUGGACAGGACUGUGCUUACUCCCCCCACAUUUUGUAACCAUGCCUUUUUCAAAUAUAGGAACUUGUUCAGUUUUAAUAAAGUCAGUCUCUCCAUUUUCACCAUUCCAGGAGGGUUGUGUUUUUAUUCACUGCCACAUCUACAUUCGAUAUCGUACCAAUGGGAGCCUAUUCAACCUAAGGUGACUGAAGGCCCAUACUAAGACUUUAAAUCAUCUUGUCCGUGAGCUGCUUUUUGUGGACGAUACUGCCCUCGUUAUCCACACAGAAGCAGCUCUGCAGCAUUUAACAUCCUGCUUUGCAGAGGCUGCUGAGCUUUUUGGGCUGGAAGUCAGCCUGAAGAAGUUUUCUACCAACCUGCACCUCAGGAAGUCUUUCAUCAUCCCCAUAACAUCAUUGGCAAAUCAGAGCUCAAGUCAGUCCGGCAGUUUAAUUAUUUGGGAAGCAUCAUCUCCUCGGACAGUAAAAUUGACAAAGAGAUAGACAAAAGGUUGGCAAAAGCAUAGAGAGCUUUCGGAAAAAUCCAUAAAACAAUUUGAUGUAAUAAACACCUGAAGAAAAGUACAGAGAUCAGUGUUUACAGAGCCGUUGUACUGUCUACUCUUUUAUAUGAGUCUGAAUCGUGGGUCAUUUACCGCCACCACUUGCGUCUCUUAGAACGCUUCCAUCAGCGCUGCCUCCGUACAAUCCUAAACAUCCACUGGACGGAUUAUGUGACCAACACGUCUGUCCUUGAUCAGGCAGCAGUCACGAGCAUUGAGGCCAUGCUGCUGAGAACACAGCUGUGCUGGGCAGGGCACGUCUCCAGGAUGCAGGACUGCCGCCUCCCUAAGAUCGUGCUCUGUGGGGAACUUUCCACUGGCUGCCGCAAGAGAGGAGCCCUGAAGAGGAGAUACAAGGACUCCCUGAAACAAUCUUUCCACUUUGGCCAUCAUGAUCAUCACCAUUGGUCUACCCUGGCUUCCAGUCAGGAGGCCUGGAGACACACCAUCUAUAACGCUGCUGCUGCUUUUGAGAACACACGCAGGAUCACUCUCAAGGAGAAAGGACAAUGCAGAAAGAAUCGCAUCUUGUUGAUACCACCUAGGGAGUCUUUCUGCUGUGCCUUUUGCAAUGAGACUUGUCUAUCUCUCAUUGGCCUUUUUAACCAUCAGCGUGCUCAUAGCAAGCAUGGGUAGAGCCCUUCUCAAAUCUUUGUUUGCAAAGCCCAGACAUGAUGAUGAUGAUGAUGAUGAGGGCUAAUAUUUGGCUUGUGAUUAUUUCCUGUAAUCUGCUGUCAGAGGAGCCCUCAGUGUGAAAUUCAUGUUCUUUCUCCAGCCAUGCCACCAGCAGGUGGGAAAUCUCUGGACUUCUCCUGGUGUGGUUUCCAGUGGCUGCAGGUUGCUGCCACACUUCAGAGACUGAUCACUGGGUCCCUGUGCACAGGAACAGAGAACACAACUUCACCUUGAGGGUUUUUCCUUAGGAGAAGCCACUGCUGUGCUUGUGCUCUUGAACUUCUGAUGUGAUUGAAAAUUGCUGUCUUAGAAAUGAGAAGAUGAAUUUUAAAAGUCCCAAGACUUCUCAGCUCAAAAGAACUCCUGUUUUUGAGAGCCUGGACUCUGACUUGGGAACCCUCCAAAGCUGGAAGCACUAUGAGCCAUGUCGUCUGACUGAAAAGUGGAUGGUUUGGCCAGGUAAGCUCAGCUGUCAGCUCAGGCCAAAACCGGUAAUUGGAAAACCAGAAAACCAGGAAGGAAGGGGAUGAAUGGGAACCUGAGGCAGGACCAAGAGAAGAGGCAGUGAGGACAGAGAUGCUGGAGCAUGGUAAAGAAAGAAAGCAGAACAGGAACCAAGCAUGGAGGCCUCCAGCCAAGCCACCCCGUGCUUCUCUCAGCCUGUCUUUCAUGUCUCGUAGUGUUUGGGUUUCUCUAAACUUAGAAAAUUCCCACAUAUAGAUUUUUUUAUCUUAUCACCAAGGCUGCUAAGUGCAACCCAAACUAAGAGACACUACAUAGAAUAAAUACUUAAACAGUAAACCCACAGAAAUCACAA